rnacentral:lncRNA from 1 species
ACUCUCGUCGCCAUUUUGUUUUUGGUGGUUUUUGUCUGGCUUCUUUACCGCAACCUGUUUUAUCAGCAAAGUCUUUAUAACCUGUAUUUUGUGCUGACCUCCUAUCUCAUCCUGUGACUUAGAAUGCCUUAACAACUGUCUGGAAUGCAGCCCGGUAUGCAUGGAAUUCUAUCUCUAUCCCUCCAAGAACUUUGUUUAAAUAAUUUUGCUUAAGAGGAAUGAAAUGUCCUUUUCUGUCAAGAUCUGUGGAGUGGCUGCAGCACCUGUGUUUCAGCCUGAAGAAUGGGCACAGUCCCUCUUUGGCAGACUGAAUGGAUGCUGCCAUACCAUCACACUGGAAAUGAGGAAUAUAACACCAUGAGGAAGAAUGGUUGUUUCACACACUGAUAUUUCAUGAUUCUGAAGAAGAAUUGGAGGUGAGACUUGAGAAAAUGGAGAAAAAGAUAUGCUUUGGAUUUUCUUGAAGACUAGAAGCUUUCUUAACCAUCCACCACCUUGUUGACUGGUUAUUAUUCUCUCUACCUUCUGUGAAACAAACUGAUGGAUACUAAUGGCACAAUUACACUUAUAGCUAGUCAGUUGCAUAGUUUAUGCACAUAGUUCUGCUUCCAGUGUUUAGUAAUGAGUUAAACAUUUUGGCUAUAUUUGUCUCUGAAGCUAUAAUUUCAAUUAAUCAUUAUGUAUAGCAAUAAUAACAAGUAAAACAAAAAGAAGAAUUUUUUGUUUCUAUGGUAAUUAUGUUGGGUGCUUUGGAUCCUCCCAAUAAAGUUGACUUCCUAAAAUAAUUACACUUGAAUUAGGUAUAGAGAAGCUAAUUGUAACAAAUUGAAAGUUACUGUAAAUCUUCUAAUCGUAGUUCUCUGCAAGUGUACUUAAGUUAUUGCUCCACUUGAAAUAAAUGAAAACUGGAAAUCUGA